CGAACCCACCUUUCUUCCCCGGUCAAGCCUCCACGGCUCCACCCAUCUACCCCCCAAUGCCCACCUCCUGACCACCACCCACGCCCCAGCGCCAUCACGCCCAUGACCACGAGCAUGGCGCCCCAGCAACCACCCGCGCCGCCCGCCCCGGGCUGCGUCCCGCUCCACCCCGUCCCAGCCAGCACCGCGUGCCGCCCGACCCAAGGACCAACCGCGCCGCCCACCCCAAGGGUCACCUGCGCCGCCUGCCCUGGACAGCAUCGAGCGCCGCCCCGCGCGUCGCCCGCCCCGACCUCCAUCUCCUGCGCCGCCCCACUGGAUCCAUCGUCGCCGUCACCGGCUACUCUAGAUCUGGCGAUAGGGAAGCCCCACCGCCGCCUGGUGCAGGUGCAGUGUUGCACUGCCUGCCGCCCUGCCUCCUACUCUGGUGACCGGCUGUUCCCCGGAACCUCGACGACCUCCUACUAGAUCCGGCCGCCGUAUUCUACCUUCUCUGCUGCAAAAAAGAGGGUGCGUCGGCUACAUCCGACGACCUCCUGCCGGUGGCCGCGGCCGGAUCCAAACCUCCAACGACAUGAUCCAUUGCGGCCAUGCCUUGCCUCGCCCACCUGCUCGCUGAUCCGUGGCUCCAAGUUCUUUCUUCAUGCAUGUGAAGUUCGCUAUUGUUCAUCGGCUCCCAGUUCGUGCAUGUGCAGUUCUCUUUGUUUUUGCAGAGCAGCGACAGAAGAUCCGACAGAGGGUGGUGACCCCUCUUCCACCUACCUUUGCCGGCGUGCACUGCAGGCAACAGCAGCGUGCACUGCAGGCAACGGUGGCAUGCACUGCAGGCAGCAGCAGCAUGCACUGCAGGCACCAAUGGCGUGCACUACAGGGAGCAGCAGCAGUGUGCACUCCAGGCAGCAACAGCGUGCAGUGCGGCGACCAUUCCCAUGGGUGCACAGGUACAGUGCUGCGGGGGUUGGACAUGCAGUGCGCAAGCACCGGCUUGCCUUUCACGGGCAAAAUUAUGAAUUUAUUUUUAAGUCCUUCAUCAUUGUGAUUUGUAUGUGUUUGUACCGUGGAUAAAGAGAAGCAUUGCAGCCCUGUCUCUUAGCCCAUAGACCCACCAAUCACAGCUCUCCCAAGAACGUGCAUUGAAGAAAACAAAACAAUAAUUUUUUUGAAAUGCAGCUCACUUGUUUGAUCGCUGCAGCGAUUUUCUUUUUC